UACGAAGGGGGCUAGCGUUGUUCGGAAUUACUGGGCGUAAAGCGCGCGUAGGCGGUUUUGCAAGCCAGAGGUGAAAUGCCUGAGCUCAACUUAGGAAUUGCCUUUGGGACUGUGAGACUUCGAGGACUGGAGAGGUGAGUGGAAUUCCCAGUGUAGAGGUGAAAUUCGUAGAUAUUGGGAAGAACACCGGUGGCGAAGGCGGCUCACUGGCCAGUUUCUGACGCUGUAGCGCGAAAGCGUGGGGAUCAAACAGG
rnacentral:rRNA from 1 species